AUCCACCUGACAAGUCCAAAAUAGGACGAAAUAAGCAUCUUGGAU
rnacentral:hammerhead_ribozyme from 1 species